CACUUAUUCAACUAUUAAGCUAGUUAGCUACUACCCUUGGUUCUAAUACAAAAGGUUUAAAUGAAGGUGGCUAAGCCACAAGGGAGAAGCAUUUGUCUUUCUUUGUGAUUAAACUUUCAAGAAUAGAUUUUUCUCUCUCAAUAAUACUUAUGUAUUUAAAUCAAAUGAUAACACAGCCUGAGUAUUUUUUUUGGUCUUAUUUCAGUUCCAGACAUAUCAUUAUUUUUCAACCUGAGAUGGCAAACUAGAGGUUUUAAAAAGUCCUGAAUAACUGGUAAGCAUUUUGUUUUAUUAGGCAAGCUCUAAAUUGUUUAUUUCUGGUAUUUAUGCAAUUGAAAUUACAGUCGGUAUGUUAAAAAUAUGCUAAUAUGAAAACUGUUGCUAUGGUCUUGGUAUUAAAUGAAAAGGCUUAGUUACAGAUCGUUUGGACUCAAUAUUUCAAGUUAAAUCUUGCGGCAACUGUUUCUCACGUAACACUGCAAACUAUAUUUAGCGCUAUUUUGAUCUGUCGUUAUUUAAUGACGCCAUAAUACAUGUGGUAUCACAAUGUUUCCGUUAAGACCUUAUGUGGAUUUCUCACUGAUAAAAGGUUUUCACUGAAAAACAUGUAAAAAACAUUUUUUCUCAAAUAGAAUUAUGUGCAAGGACAAGUUUUGAAAAUUUGCACUAUAUUGCACUCUAAUUAUAUGAUAUGGAUGACUUUCCCAGUAGUUUAGAGUGGUUUCAACAGUAUUAAAUACAAGAUUUCCACUAGUAAGAAUAAUUAUUUUGGUGUUGUUUUUUAUAAAACCUUCAGUUUUGCAUAAUUUCUCUGUCAAAAUGCACUUUAAGGCACAAGAAAAUUUUAUAGAAUGCUUUAUCAGGGUCUGUGUAUUGUAAUUAAAGAUUAUAAUCAGAAGUUUUGUCCUUGUUUUUAGUUUGUUACCCCGAUUUUGUUUUUUGUCCCUGGAUUUAUGAGUUUUGAACAGCGGUAUACUACUGUUGCCUUUAUUUGACUAGUGGAGGUAAUCUGGAAGAAAUUACUUAUACAUACUCAUUGUAUUCAAAAUAAAUGAAUAUAGCGACGAAAGUGUCAUUGCCUUAUAGUGCUAAAACAACUUUAUUUUUUUUCAGAAAUGGACAAAAAUACAAAGAUUUAUUCAGAAUAUUAUACCGAUGAAGAUCACAUAAAAAAUAUUUGGAAAAAUCAGAAGUAUGGAUUUCAAUAU
rnacentral:lncRNA from 1 species